GGGCCGGUAGCUCAGUGGCAGAGCACCUGACUUUUAAUCAGAGGGUCGUGGGUUCGAUCCCCACCCGGCUCA
rnacentral:tRNA from 1 species